CGACUUUCGCAUAUCGGUAUAGCAAACAUAACAUUGUCUACGUUCAGAUAAAUAUCCUUUGCUCAUUUCAGUUCCAAAAACUCGAAGAAGAAGAAGAAGAGAACAAUGGAAGGUUUCACAUCGUUCUUCGACUCGCAAUCUGCCUCUCGCAACCGCUGGAGUUAUGAUUCUCUCAAAAACUUCCGCCAGAUCUCACCUCUCGUUCAAACUCAUCUCAAGCAGGUGUACCUUACGCUAUGCUGUGCUUUAGUGGCAUCGGCUGCUGGGGCUUACCUUCACAUUCUAUGGAAUAUCGGUGGCCUCCUCACAACAAUGGCUUGCAUGGGAAGCAUGGUGUGGCUUCUCUCAGCUCCUCCUUAUCAAGAGCAAAAAAGGGUGGCUCUUCUGAUGGCAGCUGCACUUUUUGAAGGCGCCUCUAUUGGUCCUCUGAUUGAGCUGGGCAUUAACUUCGAUCCAAGCAUUGUGUUUGGCGCUUUUGUAGGUUGUGCUGUGGUUUUUGGUUGCUUCUCAGCUGCUGCCAUGUUGGCAAGGCGCAGGGAGUACUUGUACCUCGGGGGCCUUCUUUCAUCUGGCGUCUCCCUUCUCUUCUGGUUGCACUUUGCAUCCUCCAUUUUUGGUGGUUCCAUGGCUGUUUUCAAGUUUGAGUUGUAUUUUGGACUCUUGGUGUUUGUGGGCUACAUCGUCUUUGACACCCAAGAAAUUAUUGAGAAGGCUCACUUGGGUGAUAUGGAUUACGUUAAGCAUGCAUUGACCCUUUUCACAGAUUUUGUCGCUGUUUUUGUGCGGAUUCUGAUCAUCAUGUUAAAGAAUGCAUCUGAGAAGGAAGAGAAGAAGAA
rnacentral:misc_RNA from 1 species